UCCCAUAUAGUCUAGCCGGUUAGGAUAGCGGGUUUUCACCUCGCCGACCCGGGUUCGAGUCCCGGUGUGGGAA
rfam:Blastocystis sp. NandII AV274scaffold_64, whole genome shotgun sequence.